rnacentral:rRNA from 1 species
AGUGAACGCUGGCGGUAGGCCUAACACAUGCGAGUCGAACGGCAGCACAGUAAGAGCUUGCUCUUACGGGUGGCGAGUGGCGGACGGGUGAGGAAUACAUCGGAAUCUACUUUUUCGUGGGGGAUAACGUAGGGAAACUUACGCUAAUACCGCAUACGACCUACGGGUGAAAGCAGGGGAUCUUCGGACCUUGCGCGAUUGAAUGAGCCGAUGUCGGAUUAGCUAGUUGGCGGGGUAAAGGCCCACCAAGGCGACGAUCCGUAGCUGGUCUGAGAGGAUGAUCAGCCACACUGGAACUGAGACACGGUCCAGACUCCUACGGGAGGCAGCAGUGGGGAAUAUUGGACAAUGGGCGCAAGCCUGAUCCAGCCAUACCGCGUGGGUGAAGAAGGCCUUCGGGUUGUAAAGCCCUUUUGUUGGGAGAGAAAAGCAGCAGGUUAAUACCCCGCUGUUCUGACGGUACCCAAAGAAUAAGCACCGGCUAACUUCGUG